ACUGGAGUCCAAGGAAGAGAAAGUGCUCCAAGAGAGUCCCCCCCACAGAGGGGUCCAAAGAGAGAGAGAGAGCUGUUUCCAUAGUCCUUAUAGACCACAGAAGGGGAGAUUCCUCCAACAAGGAGCCUUUCCCCACUGACACUGUCACUCCCAAUCAUCUUCAGCACAGCCCUAGUCAGUGGGAACCAGUCAGAAAUUUCCUGUGCCAUCCCAGCAAGAUGUAUGUCUCUUUGGAAGGGUCCAGAGCACAUGUCUAGCUCCUUGGGAGGUCCUCCAGCUCUAUAAAUUAGGGAUUUCCUUUAUCACUCCAUUAUACAGGGGAAAAAAUAUAUAUAGUUAAUUAAAAACAUUAAACAUCAGUGCAAACAACAAAAUUUAUUUAGCUGCUAUUUAAAUUUAAAUGAUUUUCAUGCAUAAAAUAUCAUAACAUUGUUCAUCAUUCCCUCUGAGUCUCCAUUUAGGAUUUUUAAGGAUUCCUGCUCUCACUACUUUUACUUGGUAUAGUAUGAGGAAAUUCUAUCAACUGUAAUGAGACAGGGGAAAUAUACGAACAAGAUUAACUUUAGAAAAAAAGAGGUCAAAAUAUCAUCUGCAGAUGACAUGAUGGUGUUACCUAGAAAAUCAAUCGCCUCAGCUCAAAGGCAUUUUAGAAUACAAUGUUUGCUAUUGUCCGAGAACCUGGUAAACCAAUGGUCACUUUUUCAAUCACCAAAUUUCUGACACUUCCUCUGGGACUCUCACCUCCCUUUCCCUGUCCAUUUUAAGUUGUUCAGAAGUUUCAGAGCAUAUUCUGUGAACAACAGAGAUGGAAAAUACUUCCAGCCUAUGAUGUCAAGGUGGCUAAAGUUGAAAACCGGAAUUUAUUAAAACCCAGCAUGGCUUUUAAAAAGACAGCCAACUGGAUUCCCUUCACAAAGGUUUCCAACCCACUGCGAGUGAUGGAGGCACUGCAGGCUCAUGCAUCAGCAGCCGUGGAGCCAGCUUCACCACUUCAUUCCUUUGUGAAUCCCCAGGGUAUGGAUCAGUGCACCUAUGAUCGAAUCUGGGAGGAAAUUUAUAGCAACAUCAACCUUCGCCAGGUAUUACAGCUAGAAGUAACGGGCACACCUUUCAGCAAGCACAUGGGGUUGCAUAUGUA
rnacentral:lncRNA from 1 species